rnacentral:sRNA from 2 species
AGUAAAGUUUUCUAGGGUUCCGCAGUUUUGACUGGCCAGUGACCAAGAGAGAACUCACAGUUUUUAACUGUGACACGGAAGGAUAAAAGCCUGGGAGAU